rnacentral:rRNA from 1 species
GACGAACGCUGGCGGCAUGCCUAAUACAUGCAAGUCGAGCGAACAGAUGAAGUGCUUGCACUUCUGACGUUAGCGGCGAACGGGUGAGUAACACGUAAGGAAUCUACCUAUAAGCGGGGGAUAACAUUCGGAAACGGGUGCUAAUACCGCAUAAUAUCUUCUUCCGCAUGGAAGAAGAUUGAAAGACGGCUCUGCUGUCACUUAUAGAUGACCUUGCGGUGCAUUAGUUAGUUGGUGGGGUAAUGGCCUACCAAGACGAUGAUGCAUAGCCGACCUGGGAGGGUGAUCGGCCAAAUUGGGACUGAGACACGGCCCAAACUCCUACGGGAGGCAGCAGUAGGGAAUCUUCCGCAAUGGGCGAAAGCCUGACGGAGCAAUGCCGCGUGAGUGAAGAAGGCCUUCGGGUCGUAAAACUCUGUUAUAAGAGAAGAACAAAUUGUAGAGUAACUGCUACAGUCUUGACGGUAUCUUAUCAGAAAGCCACGGCUAACUACGUGCCAGCAGCCGCCGUAA